rnacentral:rRNA from 1 species
CGGGGUGAGUAAUGCUUGGGAAUCUAGCUUAUGGAGGGGGAUAACUACGGGAAACUGUAGCUAAUACCGCGUAGAAUCGAGAGAUGAAAGUGUGGGACCUUCGGGCCACAUGCCCUAGGAUGAGCCCAAGUGGGAUUAGGUAGUUGGUGAGGUAAAGGCUCACCAAGCCGACGAUCUCUAGCUGGUCUGAGAGGAUGACCAGCCACACUGGGACUGAGACACGGCCCAG